UUUAGUCCCUAAAAUUUAUAUUUUUAUUCUAAAAAAGAUUUUUGCCAUUAAAAUUCUUUAACUAACGGAGUUAAAAAAAAUUUAAUGGCAGUAACCUUUUGGGAAUUAAAAUGUAAACUUCAGGGACUAA
rnacentral:pre_miRNA from 1 species